UACGUAGGGUCCGAGCGUUGUCCGGAAUUAUUGGGCGUAAAGGGCUCGUAGUCGGUCUGUUGCGUCGGGAGUGAAAACUUACAGCUUAACUGUGAGCGUGCUUUCGAUACGGGCAAACUAGAGUACUGCAGGGGAGACUGGAAUUCCUGGUGUAGCGGUGAAAUGCGCAGAUAUCAGGAGGAACACCGGUGGCGAAGGCGGGUCUCUGGGCAGUAACUGACGCUGAGGAGCGAAAGCGUGGGGAGCGAACAGG
rnacentral:rRNA from 1 species